rnacentral:tRNA from 1 species
UCCCUGGUGGUCCAUUGGCUAAGACUUUGUGCUCCCAAUGCAGGGACCUGGGUUCGAUCCCAGGUCAGGGAC